AGUUGUGGCACAUCGGCUCAGUAGCUGUGGCUUGUGGGCUCUAGAACACAGGCUCAGUAGUCGUGGUGCAUGGACUUAGUUGCUCCGUGGCAUGUGGGAUCUUCCAGAGCAGGGCUCAAACCCAUGUCCCCUGAAUUGGCAGGUGGAUUCUUAAUCACUGCACCACCAGGGCAGUUCCCAGUUCUGUUACUUUUUAUUUAAGGUGUUUUGGAGCUCUGAUGCUAGGUGCAUAUAUAUUUUUAACUAUUAGGUAUUCUUGGUGUAUUGACCCUUUUAUCAUUCUGAAAUGUCCCUUAGGCACUUACCUUAGUAUUUCUUGUAAAAGAAAUAAAGAAAUUUUCUGUUUU